GGAGGAGCCAUCCUUAUGUGAGCUGCCUCAGAAGUAAAAUGAUGCUCUAGGCACAGGCUUUCUGUGGUAGCCUGAUACACUGAUGUCUUUAUCACUUCCCUGGCUCUUCAAGGUUCUCAGAACCCAGAACCAAUCCCCAGGCCUGUGAUGUCAUCCUCUUUCCUGUUAGCUGAGAACAAUGAAACCCACAAAGGGCAUUGUGGGUACCCAGCAUUUCUUUAAGCCAGAGAACCAGAAGAGAACAAAAGAAACUUCCUGUGACUAGAACUUCCUUGGAGAGACAUAUAAACACGGAGACAGUUUGCUAGGAAGUAUCUAGACUCUACUCAUUAUAAUGCCUAGAAUCCAGUCUAGAAAUCAAGGCUUUGUUCUGGAGUGUGCAGCAUGACCUCAUUAGGCUUCUGGGAAUGCACCGUCGUGUGGGAACAUCCUUUAGUCAUUUGAUGGUGAAAGAAACUGGGAAUUCACAGCUGGGAAAGCAAGUUACCAUCAGUACAGCAAGAUGCUGAGAUAAGGCCCUUACCACUUCCUGUUUCUCUAAGGGCAGUGACUUGAGAAGGACUGGAGAGAAGAAAAGGAGACAGCAACAGUUACUAAGCUGAAUGUUUUUGCUUUGUGGCUUUGUGGGCUUUGCCUCAUAGGAACUGACACCAGCAUUCUAUGAAAGAUCAAGUCUCCAGUCUGCCACAUGCAGGAGAAGACUUCAAUGACAAGUCGACAGGCAUCACACACUUUGGUUUUUGAGAUGGGGUCUCUCAUCAGUCGCUCCUUGCCUAUGAGUCUCAGUGGGCUGAUGUGAGCUCGGGCAGCGAGCUCACGCGCCUAUGCACAGCCCUGUUCACGGGAGCUCUGAGGCUCAAACUCAAGACAGC
rnacentral:lncRNA from 1 species